UCUGCACCUUGAUAGAUUGAAGCCAUUGGCUGGCCAAUGAACUUGCAAGUGCAGGUCAUGCGCUAUACACGAGGGACAAGUUUUUUGCUAACACCGCAAGGAUCUCUGGGCCUGAUGAGUGGCGUUUGAUAGUAAAUCUUGCUACAAGU